UACGUAGGGUGCGAGCGUUGUCCGGAUUUAUUGGGCGUAAAGGGCUCGUAGGCGGCGUGUCGCGUCGGGAGUGAAAGCCCGUUGCUUAACGGCGGGUUGGCUUUCGGUACGGGCAUGCUGGAGUGCGGCAGGGGAGACUGGAAUUCCUGGUGUAGCGGUGAAAUGCGCAGAUAUCAGGAGGAACACCGGUGGCGAAGGCGGGUCUCUGGGCCGAUAUUGACGCUGAGGAGCGAAAGCGUGGGGAGCGAACAGG
rnacentral:rRNA from 1 species